AAACUUCGAUAGAAUAUCACACCCCCUAUCCGCCAGGGAACUACAAGCACCAGCUUUAAACCCAAAGGACUUGGCGGUGCUUUAGACCCCCCUAGAGGAGCCUGUUCUAAAACCGAUAAUCCCCGUUGAACCUCACCACCUUUUGUUAACUCCGCCUAUAUACCGCCGCCGUCAGCUUACCCUGUGAAGGCCUCAUAGUAAGCAAAAUUGGCAAACCCCAAAACGUCAGGUCGAGGUGUAGCGUAUGAGGUGGGAAGAAAUGGGCUACAUUCUUUCGAACCAGAGAAUACGAAUAAUGGACUGAAAUCGCCCAUUUAAAGGAGGAUUUAGCAGUAAGUAAAAACAGAGUGUUUU
rnacentral:rRNA from 1 species